rnacentral:rRNA from 1 species
UACGAAGGGGGCUAGCGUUGUUCGGAAUUAUUGGGCGUAAAGAGCUCGUAGGCGGUUUGUCACGUCUGCUGUGAAAACUGGAGGCUCAACCUCCAGCCUGCAGUGGGUACGGGCAGACUAGAGUGCGGUAGGGGAGAUUGGAAUUCCUGGUGUAGCGGUGGAAUGCGCAGAUAUCAGGAGGAACACCGAUGGCGAAGGCAGAUCUCUGGGCCGUAACUGACGCUGAGGAGCGAAAGCAUGGGGAGCGAACAGG